rnacentral:rRNA from 1 species
CCUACGGGUGGCAGCAGUGGGGGAUAUUGCGCAAUGGGCGCAAGCCUGACCCAGCAACGCCGCGUGAAGGAAGAAGGCCCUCGGGUUGUAAACUUCUUUUCUCAGGUACGAAGAAAGUGACGGUACCUGAGGAAUAAGCGACGGCUAACUACGUGCCAGCCGCCGCGAUAAUACGUAGGUGGCAAGCGUUAUCAGGAUUUGUUGGGUGUAAAGGGCGAGUAGGCGGGAGCGCAAGUCAGAUGUGAAAACUCAGGGCUCAACCCUGAGACUGCACUUGAAACUGUGUUUCUGGAGUGCUGGAGAGGCAAGCGGAAUUCCGGGUGUAGCGGUGAAAUGCGUAGAUAUAAGGAGGAACACCAGUGGCGAAGGCGGAUUGCUGGACAGUAACUGACGCUGAGGCGCGAAAGCGUGGGUAGCAAACAGGAUUAGAUACCCCGGUAGUC